rnacentral:rRNA from 1 species
GAUGAACGCUAGCUACAGGCUUAACACAUGCAAGUCGAGGGGAAACGAUAUUGGAAGCUUGCUUCCGAUAGGCGUCGACCGGCGCACGGGUGAGUAACGCGUAUCCAACCUGCCCAUCACUUGGGGAUAACCUUGCGAAAGUAAGACUAAUACCCAAUGAUAUCUCUAGAAGACAUCUGAAGGAGAUUAAAGAUUUAUCGGUGAUGGAUGGGGAUGCGUCUGAUUAGCUUGUUGGCGGGGUAACGGCCUACCAAGGCGACGAUCAGUAGGGGUUCUGAGAGGAAGGUCCCCCACAUUGGAACUGAGACACGGUCCAAACUCCUACGGGAGGCAGCAGUGAGGAAUAUUGGUCAAUGGGGCGAGAGCCUGAACCAGCCAAGUAGCGUGCAGGAAGACGGCCCUAUGGGUUGUAAACUGCUUUUAUAAGGGAAUAAAGUGAGCCUCGUGAGGCUUUUUGCAUGUACCUUAUGAAUAAGGACCGGCUAAUUCCGUGCCAGCAGCCGUACGG